ACGGGAGGCAGCAGUGGGGAAUAUUGCGCAAUGGGGGAAACCCUGAUGCAGCGACGCCGCGUGAGUGAAGAAGUUAUUCGUAAUGUAAAGCUCUAUCAGCAGGGAAGAAAAUGACGGUACCUGACUAAGAAGCCCCGGCUAACUACGUGCCAGCAGCCGCGGUAAUACGUAGGGGGCAAGCGUUAUCCGGAUUUACUGGGUGUAAAGGGAGCGUAGACGGUCUUGCAAGUCUGAUGUGAAAGGCAGGGGCUCACCUCCUGGACUGCAUUGGACACUGUAAGUCUUGAGUGCCGGAGAGGUAAGCGGAAUUCCUAGUGUAGCGGUGAAAUGCGUAGAUAUUAGGAGGAACACCAGUGGCGAAGGCGGCUUACUGGACGGUACCUGACGUUGAGGCUCGAAAGCGUGGGGAGCAAACAGGAUUAGAUACCCUGGUA
rnacentral:rRNA from 1 species